AUUACACCCCUGUGAGUGUGCCUUUCAAAUGCAAACCGACAAAUUCAGAGUCCAUAUCCCCAACCACCUCUUCUACGGGGCUCUCCCGCUCUGGGGCUCUAUUCCUCUGCCCUAACCACCCCAGGGCUAGGUACUUGACAAUUAGGGACACCUCUGUUAACCAGAGCCUGCUGAAAUUAUUCAACUAGCUAAUCCUUAGCCUGCUUUCCUUGCCUCCUCUAUUCCUUUCCAGAGAAACUGCAACAAAGGCUCUUGCUUGUGUUUUGCCCUCCUUGCAACUCCCGACCCCUGAAGGAUCCUGGUGAUUCUCCCAGUGGACAUAUAUGAUGUGCCCCCUCCUCCUGCAAGCUACAUAUUAGACUUGAGAAUCCAAAAAGCUCUGUUUAAUGAUCCUGUAUUGGCUGACAUCCAAAGAAAAAUUGCUUCACUUCUAAAUAUCCAUGACAUAACUGUCUGUCUAAUAGGAAGACCUGAAAAGUACCAUUUGUUGUUGCAUCCGGCAGG
rnacentral:lncRNA from 1 species